rnacentral:rRNA from 1 species
GGAGUUUGGGCCGUGUCUCAGUCCCAAUGUGGCCGGUCACUCUCUCAAGCCGGCUACUGAUCGUCGCCUUGGUGGGCCGUUACCUCACCAACUAGCUAAUCAGACGCGGGUCCAUCCUAUAGCGAUAAAUCUUUGACCCCUGUACGAUGCCGUACUGUGGUCUUAUGUGGUAUUAUCAGUCAUUUCUAACUGCUAUCCCACUCUAUAGGGCAGGUUACCCACGCGUUACUCACCCGUCCGCCACUAAGUUUAGAAUCACUAGGUUUCAUCUAAACUCCGUUCGACUUGCAUGUGUUAGGCACGCCGCCAGCGUUCAUC